rnacentral:lncRNA from 1 species
AAGGAAGGAAAGAAGGAAGGAAGAGAGAAAGAGAGAGAGAGAAAGAAAGAAAGAAAGGAAGGAAGGAAGAGAGAAAGAGAGAGAGAGAAAGAAAGAAAGAAAGAAGGAAAAAGAAAAAAAGGGAGGAAUAAAGAAAGAAAGAAGGAAGGAAUAAAGAAAGAAAAAG